rnacentral:rRNA from 1 species
AUGCACGCUGGCGGCGUGCCUAAUACAUGCAAGUCGCGCGAACGGACGAGAAGCUUGCUUUUCUGAUGUUAGCGGCGGACGGGUGAGUAACACGUGGAUAACCUACCUAUAAGACUGGGAUAACUUCGGGAAACCGGAGCUAAUACCGGAUAAUAUUUUGAACCGCCUGGUUCAAAAGUGAAAGACGGUCUUGCUGUCACUUAUAGAUGGAUCCGCGCUGCAUUAGCUAGUUGGUAAGGUAACGGCUUACCAAGGCAACGAUGCAUAGCCGACCUGAGAGGGUGAUCGGCCACACUGGAACUGAGACACGGUCCAGACUCCUACGGGAGGCAGCAGUAGGGAAUCUUCCGCAAUGGGCGAAAGCCUGACGGAGCAACGCCGCGUGAGUGAUGAAGGUCUUCGGAUCGUAAAACUCUGUUAUUAGGGAAGAACAUAUGUGUAAGUAACUGUGCACAUCUUGACGGUACCUAAUCAGAAAGCCACGGCUAACUACGUG